AGUUCAGACCUGUGCUCUUUCAAUGUGUUUGGACAACUGUUAUGUAAAUAUCACUCAAAGCAAGAUGUAGAACAUUUCUAUCUCCCUAGAAAGUUUCCUCAUGCUCUUUUCUAGUCAACUGCCAGCCGCCCCCCCCCCCCCCCCCCAGUCACCUUCGGUCUCCUAUCACUGCCAUUUUUUGCAGUGGAUUCUAGAAUGUCAUAUAAAUGGAAUCAUACCUAUGCCUUUAACGUAUGUGGGUUCAUCCAUUCUGUUGUAUGUAUCCAUAGUUUGUCCUUUGAUAUUGCUGAGAAGUACUCCAUUGGAUGAACAUGUCACGAUUUCUGUUUUCCAGUUGUUGGAGGUGUUUCCAGCUUGGAGUGGGACAAGCGGCUAUAAGCUUGGACAGUUCUUAUUAUGAACAUAUUUAUUUAUUUACUUACUUAUAUUAAGUUUAUUUUAUUUUGAGAGAGAGAGAGAGA